GCCCUCCAGAUGUUUUGGGACUACAGUUCCCAUCAUCCCUGACCACAGAUCCUGUUAGCUAGAGAUGAUGGGAGUUGUAGUCCCAAAACAUCUGGAGGGC